rnacentral:rRNA from 1 species
UACGUAGGGUGCAAGCGUUGUCCGGAAUUAUUGGGCGUAAAGAGCUUGUAGGCGGUUUGUCGCGUCUGCUGUGAAAUUUCGGGGCUCAACCCCGAACUUGCAGUGGGUACGGGCAGACUAGAGUGUGGUAGGGGAGACUGGAAUUCUCGGUGUAGCGGUGAAAUGCGUAGAUAUCGAGAGGAACACCUGUGGCGAAGGCGGCGAUCUGGACGAUGACUGACGCUGAGACGCGAAAGCGUGGGGAGCAAACAGG